rnacentral:tRNA from 1 species
GCCUUCGUGGUGUAAUGGUCAGCACACUCGGCGCUUAUUCGAGAAGUUAGAGGUUCGAGUCCCGCCAAGGGCA